rnacentral:rRNA from 1 species
AUUGAACGCUGGCGGCAUGCUUUACACAUGCAAGUCGAGCGGCAGCGGGGGUGCUUGCACCUGCCGGCGAGUGGCGAACGGGUGAGUAAUACAUCGGAACGUAUCCUUAAGUGGGGAAUAACGCAUCGAAAGAUGUGCUAAUACCGCAUAGUCUUUUACAAGUAAAGCAGGGGAUCGAAAGACCUUGCGCUUGAGGAGCGGCCGAUGUCUGAUUAGCUAGUUGGUGGGGUAAAGGCCUACCAAGGCGACGAUCAGUAGUUGGUCUGAGAGGACGACCAACCACACUGGGACUGAGACACGGCCCAGACUCCUACGGGAGGCAGCAGUGGGGAAUUUUGGACAAUGGGCGAAAGCCUGAUCCAGCCAUGCCGCGUGAGUGAAGAAGGCCUCGGUU